GUACAUGGGAAGGGCUUUUAAACUAAAAUGGCAUUUAGGUUAUUUAGUGGUGAAUCCUUGUGCUUUUCCACCAAGCAUCUAUUUUUAGAAAGAGAAGAACUUUCCCUAAUUUGGGACAACAUGCAGGCAUUGGGAUAUUUUACAUGAAAAAGGUGUAUUUAAUAUAUGUAUUUGUAUUAUUUGUUUUCUACUUUUCUCUUGACUGAUAAAUUGUUGAUUUGUGGCAGCACUACAUUAAAUUGAGCAAGUUGGAAAAAAACUGCAAGUUGAAUGAUCUCGUAGAUGCCUUGGAUUUUAAUCAGGUUGUCGUCUUUGUCAAAAGUGUUAGCAGGGUAGCUGAGCUGAACAAGUUGCUUGUGGAAUGUAACUUCCCAUCUAUCUGCUUCCACUCUGGAAUGUCACAGGAGGAGAGUUGCUAGUUUGUUCCAAUGUUUCAUCUUUGCCAAGGUAUUAACAGGGAAGCCAUUGUUUCCUGGUAAAAAUGUGGUUCACCAAUUGGAUUUGAUGACUGAUAUGCUCGGGACACCUUCCUUAGACACCAUUUCUCAGGUGUGGAAUGAAAAAGCAAGAAGAUAUUUGAGCAGCAUGAGGAAGAAGCGGCCUGUACCAUUUUCUCAGAAGUUUACAAAUGCAGAUCCUCUAGCACUAAAACUGUUGGAAAGACUUUUGGCAUUUGAU